CCUACGGGUGGCAGCAGUCGAGAAUCAUUCACAAUGGGGGAAACCCUGAUGGUGCGACGCCGCGUGGGGGAAUGAAGGUCUUCGGAUUGUAAACCCCUGUCAUGUGGGAGCAAAUUAAAAAGAUAGUACCACAAGAGGAAGAGACGGCUAACUCUGUGCCAGCAGCCGCGGUAAUACAGAGGUCUCAAGCGUUGUUCGGAAUCACUGGGCGUAAAGCGUGCGUAGGCUGUUUCGUAAGUCGUGUGUGAAAGGCGCGGGCUCAACCCGCGGACGGCACAUGAUACUGCGAGACUAGAGUAUGGGAGAGGUAGGUGGAAUUCCUGGUGUAGCGGUGAAAUGCUUAGAUAUCAGGAGGAACAUCGGUGGCGGAAGCGCUUUACUGGGCCGUAAUUGACGCUGAGGAACGAAAGCCAGGGUAGCAAAUGGGAUUAGAUACCCUGGUAGUC
rnacentral:rRNA from 1 species